rnacentral:rRNA from 1 species
UACGUAGGGUGCGAGCGUUGUCCGGAAUUACUGGGCGUAAAGAGCUCGUAGGUGGUCUGUCGCGUCAUUUGUUUAAGGCCGGGGCUUAACUCCGGGGUAGCAGGUGAUACGGGCAUGACUAGAGUACUGUAGGGGAGACUGGAAUUCCUGGUGUAGCGGUGAAAUGCGCAGAUAUCAGGAGGAACACCGGUGGCGAAGGCGGGUCUCUGGGCAGUAACUGACGCUGAGGAGCGAAAGCAUGGGUAGCGAACAGG